CUGGCCCCUCUCUCUAUCGUCAAACACCCACUCCCUGGCUUCUCUCUCACCGUCUCACAUCACACAGCACAAGACGUCACUGCCUCCCGACGAAACUACCAUUCCCCUCCCUUCCUCGCGUUCUGGUGCGGUGAGGAACUCCCACUCCCCAUGUCUCCCGGCUGCUGCCGUGAUAAGCGCCCUCCCUUUCCACGCCGUUGCCUCGACGAAUGCCGUUCCUCUCCCUCUCUGUUGACGGAGGCAGAUGAAAUCGUCUCCACUGGAUCCUCGGCAGCGGCCACUGCCCGCGCCUUGGAGGGCUACGCAGCAGCUCCUAGACCUGGAGUGGAUGGCCGAGGCCCCUUUAUGCCUCGCCUACGGCUGGAGGGACGGCGCCGUCCCAAGUCCCAACCCACCGGCGUCGCCCUGGAUCUUCUCGAGGUCGACCGUACAAGGAUUGGGGUGCUGCCGCCCCACGGGCUAUCCGGCAACAAGGAGCGCGACCGCGUCCGCCCGCGCUCCGUCAACAAGGAGCUUCGGAUGAUUUGAACGGAGAAGCGGGUGUUAUAUAUCUUGGAUCCAAAUACUAUGAAAGCAAAUAUGGGGCAUUAUCCCUUUCGCAUAUAAUAUUGGUAAGGAUGGCAAGUACUUUGCCCGUGGGUAAAUAUUUGCUCUUUACUGAAAUCGCUAGGGGCUGCUUAAAUACUUUUUGACAUGUGGCUGCUUAAAUACUUGACUUCUACAUUAUCGUGUGAAGCAGCUGAUUCUGCUUAAAUACUCGACGGCUCCAUCUGCAAGGUAACAACAUAGUAAUCAAAUGUUUUGCGAACUGUCACAUGGUAGCUAUAUGGAAGAAAAUGAAUGAACUUACCAGAGAUGAAAUCGAUUCGUGGACGGGAACUUUGAAAUUUCCACCAUAGCUGAUUGCAUAGGUAGAGGUUUGGUCGCUGUGCUGAUUGUCUGGGACUGGGAGGAAUAGGGCGAGCACAAGGGGUAGGAAGCGGAAUUUGGGAGUAUUCUGUCACCUUGUGAAAUGCCAGGUGAUUUGCCUACAGGUUGCAAAGCGAAAUUUGGGUAUUGGGAAAAAUUUGGCAAGUAUAUUAUGUGGGUUUGUAUAAGGAUUGUGAUUGGCUAGGUGUAGAGCGGAAAUUGGGCAAGGGGCGGAAUUAUGGGAGUCUAAUUAUUGAAAAUCAUAUUGCAUAAGGAAGGUGAUCUUCUCAUCUUAAUUAUGGAGAGCUUAUGAUGGAAUUUUUGUUUCCUCCUAAUCCUACCACAUGUUGGCAUCUUUCUUGCAUCGUUAGCAUUAAUCGCACUAUCAAUCAAAUUGUUGCUUGCCAAAAAUAGCUCCCACAAGAAUGACUGUUGAUUUGUACAUGUUGAGCCCAAAUGUUGUGUCCCUGUCUGAAUUUCGCCAUCUACAGAUUUCCCUCGUAUAAUUAUUUCUGGUCCUUCCAUGCAACGGACUGAAUCAAAGAGUGAAAUGCUAUUGUUAAUUAGACCAGUACAUAAUUACCAUCGCUAACUUCCCCUGGCAUUUACUAUUGCCUGUUCGAAAUUUACUCUUCUUUUUCUAAGGUGAUUGUUUACGUCUCUUUUGCUAUGAUAUAGGUGGGUGAUGGCGGUGUAGGUUAUUCUUAAGUAUGGGAAGAGCGACAAGGACAUCCACAACCUAAGGCAGGAGAUCGAGGAGUUGCCAUGUUCGUUUCUUUGAGAUUUCUCUGCCCGAGCUGAAAUAUAUGAUAUUUAAGAGUAUGGAUGCUCUAGGUACAGUCUCAAUGGUGUAAAGGGAUUAAUUGCUGAUGCUGAUUAUGCUGUUUCACCUAUGUUCAUGAUGUGGACAUAUCCAAAUAUUCGUUGCCAGCAAGACCCCUUCAGCCACUCACACUAUUUUCAGUUGUAACCACACGUAUUGGUGAUUAGUCACAACACCACAUCACCUCGUAUUAGUGAUUCUCCACACCUAUUAAUACCUAAGGAACAUAAAAGCAAGAUUCUUCUUCUUACAAAUAAUAUCAUUUUGUCAAUUCUUGCUGGCAAAAUGGAAUUCUGGACCAGCACCACAUCAAAGUGUGAAGGCAAUACUGGACACACAAUCUGGAGUAACACAAGUGAGCAACAAAGCUGGCAGGUACACCCUCUGUCCCUCUCGGUGUAAUUCAAGAUGUGCAUGCACACGUUUUUUGGCAUUGUGAAAAUGCAUUGUUUAACCUGUCCAAAGGCAAUAAAUACUUGCUGCGCCAUCGAGCAAAGGUAUUAUUUCACAUCAUGUUUCAUGAUUUGUACUACCUGUUUUAUGAAUGACAUAUCAGCUGUUUAUUUGUGUAAGCACGAAUAUGCAAGCAAGUUGGUAUCAAACUAAAUACCAAUGCAUCUCAGUUUAUUUUCGAAAACAAGUUAGUGUGACAUGUGACCAAAUUUGGUGGUGUUAUAAGCCUACCGCAGCAUUUGGAGCGUAAAAUUAAUUGCCACUGGACCAUUUAAGGUAGGCAUCUGAAUUAUAGGGUUUUCAAGUAGUGACUAUUUUUAUGCUAUUAUACCUUUAUGUAACAUCUAACGGAACACUGUACUAUUUUUUCUCAUGCGUCUAUGGGCGCUUGAGUCGGAACUAUCUUGUUCUUUCAGUCAAAAUACAUCUUACACAGAGAAAGUAUUUGCACAUCUUAUACUUCUUCAAGUUGUAAUUACAUUUUUUGCGAUUAACCAUGACUCUAUGCUUUUAUGUUAUUUGAUCACCACAGGGUGGACAUUGGUAUUCAAGAUCCAUUGCUUCUGGAUAUCCAACUCCUUAACCACCAUAAAUUCAGAUGAGCCUGGGACUCGCCUCAGUGCCAUCACCCUUUUAGAGGUGUGGCGACUAACAAGAUAUUGACUCAGCAUGGUGGUAGAGGUAGAUUGAAGAUGAAGAUGGAUGAACUCGAAAACAAUGAGCCUGGUAAGAUGGAUAAACUCUAAUAUUAACCUGGAGGUGUAUUUUAUAUGAUUGGGAGAGCGUGAGACUGGUAAGUUUUGAGUCAUAUUGUUGCCUUCCCAGAAAAGGAGCUAUCUAUGGUAAGAUGAUAAAUUCGUCAUUAUGUUGCCUUCCCAGAAUUUGAGCCUAGUCUAUGGUAAGAUGAUAAUUAGUCAUUAUGUUGCCUUCCCAAAGUAUAGAGCUUUAUUUUUAGGAGAUUUCGAGAAUUCGAGACAUGUCGAAUUUGAUGUAGGUGGUGCAAGUAUAGAGCUUUCUUUUUAGGAGGAAACCAGAUUUUAUGCCUUUUGUCAGGUUUCUAUUUAGGUCAGAUGGAUUUUAUGCCUUUUUGUUUACACGUUGGAUAUCCUGCUUUCAAAGCACUAUUGAUCGUUGUUCCUUUCUGUCCACUAUUCUGCAGGUUUCCUAUAUUUUAUAGGUUUCCAGUUCUAUAGGUUUCCUAUUUUUGUUUACACGCUGGACAUUUAGGUAAGAUGGUUAUGAUGGCAAUAAACAAAAUGCCUCUGAUUGUAAGAUGGUUAUAUGGUAAGAUGAUUAUGUCUCCGAUUUUUUUU